GACGGAGGGUGCAAACGUUGUUCGGAUUCAUUGGGCGUAAAGGGUGCGUAGGCGGUCGUGCAAGUCGGAUGUGAAAUCUCAGGGCUCAACCCUGAAACUGCAUUCGAUACUGCGCGGCUAGAGUGCUGGAGGGGGGACUGGAAUUUACGGUGUAGCAGUGAAAUGCGUAGAUAUCGUAAGGAAGACCAGUGGCGAAGGCGAGUCUCUGGACAGCAACUGACGCUGAGGCACGAAGGCCAGGGGAGCAAACGGG
rnacentral:rRNA from 1 species